AACUCUGGAAACGACUUACCAGUUAUCGACCUUGCAACUGUUUCACCCGAGUUAGCGUACUUGGCCAGUGAUGCAGACUUGGUCAUAUUGGAAGGAAUGGGGCGGGCAAUAGAAACAAACCUUUACGCUCAACUGAAAUGUGAUUCAAUCAAGAUUGGAAUGGUGAAGCACCAAGAGGUUGCUCAGUUCCUCGGAGGAAGGCUUUAUGAUUGCGUAUUCAAGUACAACGAGG
rnacentral:misc_RNA from 1 species